UACAGGGGGGGCAAGCGUUGUUCGGAAUUACUGGGCGUAAAGGGCUCGUAGGUGGCCAACUAAGUCAGACGUGAAAUCCCUCAGCUUAACUGGGGAACUGCGUGUGAUACUGGAUGGCUUGGAUUUGGGAGAGGGAUGCGGAAUUCCAGGUGUAGCGGUGAAAUGCGUAGAUAUCUGGAGGAACACCGGUGGCGAAGGCGGCAUCCUGGACCAAUAUUGACGCUGAGGAGCGAAAGCUAGGGGAGCAAACAGG
rnacentral:rRNA from 1 species